rnacentral:rRNA from 1 species
GACGAACGCUGGCGGCGUGCUUAACACAUGCAAGUCGAACGGAAAGGCCCUGCUUUUGUGGGGUGCUCGAGUGGCGAACGGGUGAGUAACACGUGAGUAACCUGCCCUUGACUUUGGGAUAACUUCAGGAAACUGGGGCUAAUACCGGCUAGGAGCUCCUGCUGCAUGGUGGGGGUUGGAAAGUGUCGGCGGUUGGGGAUGGACUCGCGGCUUAUCAGCUUGUUGGUGGGGUAGUGGCUUACCAAGGCUUUGACGGGUAGCCGGCCUGAGAGGGUGACCGGCCACAUUGGGACUGAGAUACGGCCCAGACUCCUACGGGAGGCAGCAGUGGGGAAUAUUGCACAAUGGGCGGAAGCCUGAUGCAGCAACGCCGCGUGCGGGAUGACGGCCUUCGGGUUGUAAACCGCUUUCGCCUGUGACGAAGCGUGAGUGACGGUAAUGGGUAAAGAAGCACCGGCUAACUACGUG